UACUAGAAAAGGAUGAGGAGACAUCACCCAUUCUCAAAGAAAAUGAGCCAAACUUGAGUUUAGGAGAUGGCAGCCACAUACAGCAAGCUGUCUUGUAAGGGGCACAGCAGCGGCCCCAGGCCACCGAGGGCAGAGCCUCCAGGACCCGGACCCAUCACUAUAGAUGACUUUGCCUGGGAAGACUCACUUCACCGUUAGGAAAGUGUGGCCUCCCCUGGUGGCUCUAGGUUUACAGUACACAGAAUUACCUGCUUUGAGGCAACGCGUCUCUUAGUGAGUGGUGACUUAAGGAACAAAAUGUCUACUAGUGCCUGGAAAAACCACCAAGUACAGGGAAGAGGUCAGUUAUGAGAGCAGAUAGGCUCUUUCACAAAGUAUACUGAAGGAUUCCUAUGAGAGUCACGGCCUAGGAUGGCUCCUCCAGCUGCAGUCCAAGGCCCCAGAACACCAUGAGGAAGAGGGGAGAAAGCUCUUGAUGCUAAGUCCUCUUUCAAUCCCAGCAGAUGAAGAAACAAAGAAGAGAUAGAGGAGGAGCACCACUCACUGAAUCAUGCCGCCUUUUCUUCUACAGUCCUAUUGUAUUAUCAGUUCAACUGCAGCUACCCUUAGCAGCAUUGAGAGCUGAUGGUGUGAACCAGCAGCCCUACCAAGAGGAGCAUAUUGUGACCUUGGAGGGGACAGCCACAUGGAAUCCACACCAGACCCUCCUGGCCUGGGAAGGGCAGCAAACAGCUUGAUGAUGCACAUGGCAGUAGAUAUAUUCCAUGUCUCAGGCUCUAUCGUUCCCCUCCCGCUGGCUUGACAGUGAAGUCACUCCAGAUCUAAAGAGACUUGCAGAGGAUCUACUCUGGAAAGAGGAUUCUCGUGAUGUAAGAUGGAUAUGGCAUGUUCAUGAGGCCCAGGCCCAAUGGGAGUCCAGCCAUCAUUGCAGACCACCCACCUUUGAUUGCUGCUGGGAUCUUCCAUGCCUGGGCAAUGGUUAAGGAAAAACAAACUUCCAGUCUUGACUCAGCACCUCCUUCCAAGAGCUCAACUGCACCAUCACCAUGAAGUAUUCACAGCCAACCCAACCUGGCUCAAGGGGAAAAGGAGUCUGGCUUUCGAUUGCCUCUUCCAUAGCCUACCCUUGGUUCACGAGCAGUUUCGAGGCAGUUUGCUCGCAAGAAACCCGGUCUGGAAUGAGCAUAUUGGAGCUGCAGUACUUAUUUUGGGCAAGUGUCCUAUACUAUCUCUAGUAGCAAGAGUAUAGAGGCCUGGAUCCAAGGAGAAGUUUCUCCCUCACAACCCACAAUGACUCAGGAGGAAGACAUGCAUGUUCCACACCUGCAAGAUUAGUUCUGGCAGGCUGAGACACUGCAGUUCCAGACACUCACCAAGGGACAAAAGCAGUGCCACCAGGUUAUUCUGAGCUCCUUUGCGCCUGGAGAUCAGGGGUUGCCGAUACAUGGAGGAAAGCAUAUGGGACGUGGGUGAGUCACUAGGGCACUUUUUGAAGCUCCCAUGCUCAGUGUUACAAGUGUCCAGGCCUCACAGUGGCCAUAACCUGACAAGACCAGGGGGUCUCGGACCACUUAGGAAAAGACGUCACCUAAACAAGCAACCUAAACCAGUCAAGUGUUGGCCAGCUGUGAAAGAUUUAGUUGGCAGGAGGAGAUAUAGGUACUAUCAACUACAUCUCAGAAUGACAGUCCUUACCAGACCCGAUUUGGGACCGUAGCUGCCCAUCACUUGCAGAUCUGUCAACAUGUCACACCACCUUCACAGAACUAGCUUUCUGGCUGUGAGCAUGCUUAAGGGCUCUAGCUGUUAAACCCAUGUUCCUUUUGGGAUGGCCCCAAGCCAACAUUGAGCUGAGCCAUUUCCACCUGAUGUGGGAUUCAAACUGAGGAUUAUCUUGCUCCAAAGCUCCCUGCUGGACUGGCAAAAUUGUCAGGCUCAAUUAUGAUGUGACAGCUUCCCUUUGCUUAAAUCCUAGAUCUUUUGUAUUCCUAGUUCAAGACAUACUUCCAGACAAUCCAACCAUACAACCACCAUGAGCGGCAGUGGAUGUAACAUGGUCCAAGCCGGGGAAGUCAGAUUUAGCACUGCCUCCUCCCCUACCAACCUGGAAGAGCUUUGGCUCUUGGUGAGAAGCAGCUACUAGCGCAAAGAUGCUGACCACACUGACAGGGCAGCCUCACACCUUCCGAUGCUGUGCAUGGGUCCCCUGCAUGCCUGUCCCUCUAUGAAUAUCAGUAGGCUCCCUUUUCAAAGUUUGGACGUCACAGUGAGUUAAGUUCGAGAGGCAGAAUCAACACCAAGACAGACUGUCCUGGGGAGCUGUGAGGGGAUGUGCUGUCACAUUCCGGAGGUUGACUCCUUUACUGAGACUCAUCUGUGUGAAAUAUGAGUCGGCAAGGAAGAUCAGCCCAGACCAAUACAAUCUGUACAACCUGAGGUGAUCUGGCCUAUUCUGCCCAAGCAGUUCAGUCAUGAACCACCUGAAGAAGUGGAACCACCAACUCAAAGUCAGGAUUCUUCACCUGCUCAGGAGAGAGAGGAGGGAGCAUCUGCAGCUCAAAGGCCUGAGCUGAAAGCCCAUUGCCAGAAACUGGUUCAAAGACUGGGUAUGAGCAUGGAGAUGAUCCUGAUGUGAAGGAGAUGUGCCUGCUAAACCCAGAGCCUGGGAAACUGCCAGAAGGUGGAAAAGCAAUCAGCGUUAAAAGACAUGCUGAAAUGAUGCAGGCUGCUCCUAUGUUGGGAAUUUGUUCAUUUACAGCCUUCUGGGGAGGGAAAAAAGAAAAAAAGCACUUGUCUCCAGAGGAGCUGCCCUGCAGAAUUUGCUAACGGGUGGGAUAAUUUUUGGUAUGUACAGAUAUUGUCACUUUGCCACAGCAUUAACCAUUGUGGUGGUUAAUACUGAAGUGUCAACUUGAAGGAUGCAAACUAUUGUUCCCAAGUAGGUCUGUGAGGGUGUUGCCAAAGAUUAAAAUUUGAGUCAGUGGGCUUCGAGAACCAGACCCAACCCUUAAUCUGUUGGGCACAAUCUAAUCAGCUGCCAGCAAAUAAAAAGCAGGCAGAAAAAUGAAAUGGUGAGACUCACCUAGCCUCCCAA